rnacentral:rRNA from 1 species
GGUGACCUUGGAGGAGGGGUCACACCCGUUCCCAUUCCGAACACGGCAGUUAAGCCCUCCAUCGCCAAUGGUACUGCCAGGGCAACCUGGUGGGAGAGUAGGACGUUGCCGGGA